GCUAAUGAAUGGACCAUUUAUCCUUGGAUACACAGCAAUUGCAAUUCUCUUUCAGACAAAGAUCAACUUCGAGCUGUUUCAUUUCCUGAUAUUCACCCCUCAAGUGCUGGGAUAACCGAAGGAUUUUCGAUGUGUGCUGGAGAUUUUGUAGAGGUCUAUAAUGAGGAAAGCCAGGAAUGUGCAUGGGAUGCUGUUGUAACUUGCUUCUUCAUCGAUACGGCACACAAUAUUGUUGAAUACCUUGAAAUAAUAUCAAAAAUUCUCAAGG